ACAGAUCGUUCAGAGUUUGAUCCUGGCUCAGAGCGAACGCUGGCGGCAGGCUUAACACAUGGCAAGUCGAGCGGGCGUAGCAAUACGUCAGCGGCAGACGGGUGAGUAACGCGUGGGAACAUACCUUUUGGUUCGGAACAACACAGGGAAACUUGUGCUAAUACCGGAUAAGCCCUUACGGGGAAAGAUUUAUCGCCGAAAGAUUGGCCCGCGUCUGAUUAGCUAGUUGGUGAGGUAACGGCUCACCAAGGCGACGAUCAGUAGCUGGUCUGAGAGGAUGAUCAGCCACAUUGGGACUGAGACACGGCCCAA
rnacentral:rRNA from 1 species